GGUUCACGUACGAUCACCGAAGUUAAGCAAUGUCGAGCCUGGCUAUUACCUAGAUAGGCGACCGCUUGGUAAUACUAGGUGCUGUAA